rnacentral:rRNA from 1 species
AGCGAACGCUGGCGGCAGGCCUAACACAUGCAAGUCGAGCGCCCCGCAAGGGGAGCGGCAGACGGGAGAGUAACACGUGGGAACGUACCCUUUGGUUCGGAACAACCCAGGGAAACUUGGGCUAAUACCGGAUAAGCCCUUACGGGGAAAGAUUCAUCGCCGAAGGAUCAGCCCGCGUCUGAUUAGCUAGUUGGUGGGGUAACGGCCCACCAAGGCGACGAUCAGUAGCUGGUCUGAGAGGAUGAUCAGCCUCACUGGGACUGAGGCGCGGCCCAGACUCCUACGGGAGGCAGCAGUGGGGAAUAUUGGACAAUGGGCGCAAGCCUGAUCCAGCCAUGCCGCGUGGGUGAUGAAGGCCCUAGGGUUGUAAAGCCCUUUCGGCGGGGAAGAUAAUGACGGUACCCGCAGAAGAAGCCCCGGCUAACUUCGUGCCAGCCGCCGCCGUAACAC